rnacentral:rRNA from 1 species
AGUGGCGAACGGGUGAGUAACGCGUGGGUAACCUGCCCUAUGGAAAGGAAUAGCCUCGGGAAACUGGGAGUAAUGCCUUAUAAUACAUUGAAGUCGCAUGGCUUUGAUGUUAAACGCUCCGGUGCCAUAGGAUGGACCCGCGUCCCAUUAGCUAGUUGGUGAGAUAACAGCCCACCAAGGCGACGAUGGGUAACCGGUCUGAGAGGGCGAACGGUCACACUGGAACUGAGACACGGUCCAGACUCCUACGGGAGGCAGCAGUGGGGAAUAUUGCGCAAUGGGGGAAACCCUGACGCAGCAAUACCGCGUGAGUGAAGAAGGUUUUCGGAUCGUAAAGCUCUGUUAUUGGGGAAGAAAAAAAGACGGUACCCAAGAAGAAAGUCCCGGCUAACUACGUGCCAGCAGCCGCGGUAAUACGUAGGGGACAAGCGUUGUCCGGAUUUACUGGGCGUAAAGGGCACGCAGGCGGUUUUUUAAGUCAGAUGUGAAAGGUACCGGCUCAACCGGUGACAUGCAUUUGAAACUGAAAGACUUGAGUAUUGGAGAGGCAAGUGGAAUUCCUAGUGUAGCGGUGAAAUGCGUAGAUAUUAGGAGGAACACCGGUGGCGAAGGCGGCUUGCUGGACAAAUACUGACGCUGAGGUGCGAAAGCGUGGG